AUUGAACGCUGGCGGCAUGCCCUACACAUGCAAGUCGAACGGUAACAGGUCUUCGGAUGCUGACGAGUGGCGAACGGGUGAGUAAUACAUCGGAACGUGCCCGAGAGUGGGGGACAACGAGGCGAAAGCUUUGCUAAUACCGCAUACGAUCUCAGGAUGAAAGCAGGGGACCGCAAGGCCUUGCGCCCACGGAGCGGCCGAUGGCAGAUUAGGUAGUUGGUGGGAUAAAAGCUUACCAAGCCGACGAUCUGUAGCUGAUCUGAGAGGACGACCAGCCACACUGGGACUGAGACACGGCCCAGACUCCUACGGGAGGCAGCAGUGGGGAAUUUUGGACAAUGGGCGCAAGCCUGAUCCAGCCAUGCCGCGUGCAGGAUGAAGGCCUUCGGGUUGUAAACUGCUUUUGUACGGAACGAAAAAGACUCUGGUUAAUACCUGGGGUCCAUGACGGUACCGUAAGAAUAAGCACCGGCUAACUACGUGCCAGCAGCCGCGGUAAGAC
rnacentral:rRNA from 1 species